rnacentral:rRNA from 1 species
UACAGAGGGGGCAAGCGUUGUUCGGAAUUACUGGGCGUAAAGGGCGCGUAGGCGGCCCGCUAAGUCGAACGUGAAAUCCCCAGGCUCAACCUGGGAACUGCGUCCGAUACUGGCAGGCUUGAAUCCGGGAGAGGGAUGUGGAAUUCCAGGUGUAGCGGUGAAAUGCGCAGAUAUCAGGAGGAACACCGGUGGCGAAGGCGGGACUCUGGGCCGAUACUGACGCUGAGGAGCGAAAGCGUGGGGAGCGAACAGG